rnacentral:rRNA from 1 species
AUGUGGAGAACUGUUGGAUGUAUACUGGGAACGGACCUAUGUCCGAACAACAUAUGGCAAUAUUUUUCCUGGUGCUAUACGUUUCUCCCAGAUGGGGAGAAGUUCUAUACUUUUGGCUUAGCUGCACUUUGUUGAGCUAUGUGGAAUAGCCGUAACAGAGCCACCUUUGAAUUCAAGAAUCUGAGAUCUCCUUUUGAUGUAAUCUACUUUGCUUGUGGUUAUCUUGCUUAUUGGGCAGGUCUGAUGAUGGGAUAAGAACGUGAGGCAAUGGAGCGUGGAGCUGAUGUUGAGGAUCAAUGCUAUGAACAUGACGCGUAUCUGCGCGGCACCGGGAGGGAUGAACUGAAGAACAUGAUGGGCGCUUUUCAGUCGUGA